rnacentral:rRNA from 1 species
CCUACGGGAGGCAGCAGUGGGGAAUAUUGCACAAUGGGGGAAACCCUGAUGCAGCGACGCCGCGUGAAGGAUGAAGUAUUUCGGUAUGUAAACUUCUAUCAGCAGGGAAGAAAAUGACGGUACCUGUCUAAGAAGCCACGGCGAACUACGUGCCAGCAGCCGCGGUAAUACGUAGGGGGCAAGCGUUAUCCGGAUUUACUGGGUGUAAAGGGAGCGUAGACGGUAUGGCAAGUCUGAUGUGAAAACCCGGGGCUCAACCCCGGGACUGCAUUGGAAACUGCCGAACUGGAGUGUCGGAGAGGCAAGUGGAAUUCCUGGUGUAGCGGUGAAAUGCGUAGAUAUUAGGAGGAACACCAGUGGCGAAGGCGGCUUGCUGGACGAUGACUGACGUUGAGGCUCGAAAGCGUGGGGAGCAAACAGGAUUAGAUACCCGGGUAGUC